UUAACAUAUGUUGAAAGAGGCAGGCAUAAUAAAACUGAAGAAAUAAGAUGAUUUUUAUCUUUAAGAAAAAAUAUGUUUUUUAUGCAGGUUCUGAUUAACUUACUGCAAUGUAUAAAGAGAGAGAAAGACAGAAGCCCAUCAAUGAUUCUCAGUAUGCAAGGGAAAUACAGCACAAGAUGGAUUCAGAAUAUCAGGCAUGCCUAAGACAACAGGAGCAGAAUAAAGAACAGGCUGAGAAGAGACAAGAGCAACAUACCAGGCCUGAACAGAGACAGAAAACCCUAUCUUUCCUGUCUUCUACACGCAGUUAUGAAAGACCAUGGAUAUCAGCUGUACCAGUUACUAGACAGUAUCACUGUAGAUGGUUACCGCAGUUUGUCCCGGAGACCGGGGUGACACCGGCAACUCAGCUGCGCCAGGGGACGAUGUUCCUGUG
rnacentral:lncRNA from 1 species